GAUGAACGCUAGCGGCAGGCCUAAUACAUGCAAGUCGAACGGUCAGUAGCAAUACUGAUAGUGGCGCACGGGUGCGUAACGCGUAACCAACCUACCCGAAUCUGGGGGAUAGCCCGCCGAAAGGCGGAUUAAUACCGCAUAAGACCACAUUGUUUCAUGACAGAGAGGUUAAAGAUUUAUCGGAAGAAGAUGGGCAUGCGUCUGAUUAGUUAGUUGACGGGGUAACGGCUCACCAAGACGAUGAUCAGUAGGGGACCUGAGAGGGUAAUCCCCCACACUGGCACUGAGAUACGGGCCAGACUCCUACGGGAGGCAGCAGUAGGGAAUAUUGGGCAAUGGGCGCAAGCCUGACCCAGCCAUGCCGCGUGCAGGACGAAGGCGUUAUGCGUUGUAAACUGCUUUUAUACAGGAAGAAAAAGGCCAUGCGUGGCAAACUGACGGUACUGUAUGAAUAAGCACCGGCUAACUCCGUGCCAGCAGCCGCGGUAAUACGGAGGGUGCAAGCGUUGUCCGGAUUUAUUGGGUUUAAAGGGUGCGUAGGCGGCUUUUUAAGUCAGCGGUGAAAGCCGGUCGCUCAACGACCGAACUGCCGUUGAUACUGAUUAGCUUGAGUUUGAUUGAGGCAGCCGGAAUGGAUAGUGUAGCGGUGAAAUGCAUAGAUAUUAUCCAGAACGCCAAUUGCGUAGGCAGGUUGCUAAGUCAUAACUGACGCUGAGGCACGAAAGUGCGGGGAUCAAACAGGAUUAGAUACCCUGGUAGUCCGCACCGUAAACGAUGAUUACUCGUUGUUGGCAAUAUGACCGUCAGCGACCAAGCGAAAGCGAUAAGUAAUCCACCUGGGGAGUACGCCGGCAACGGUG
rnacentral:rRNA from 1 species